GCUAAUUUGAGUUUCCCUUAUUGAGUUCAGCUGGUAGCUUCUUUGUUUGCUGGUUCAUUGUGAAUGUUUUGGCUGCUUUGGAUGCAUGUCUUCUCAGAGGUUUGAUGCUGCACGCUACAUUAUCUAUUUUUGACUUUUGCCACUUUGGAAUGAAGCUCCUGCUAUUGAGGAGGUGGUGCUGUGGGAAUGGUGGGGCCUCCAUAGCCGGGCUGCACAGGCACAGGCUGGUAGCUGGGAUGGGAUAGUGGGUGCUGAGCCGGACGGGGAGGCUGCUGAGGUACAGCGAUAAAGGUGGAUGUCGGCACAUCUAGAAGAUAAAUAAAGCAGCAUGGAGCCAGGAAGCAGACACAUAAACCCACACAGAAGAUGAAAGGAAUAACCGAGCCAAGGAUACUGCCCACAAGUAUAGCAGUUUUGGCGUGUUUCUCAAAGCCGGACCUGCCAGGAUACACAGACCACAGCAUCAUUGCUAAAAUGUACUUACUCAUUUUGUAAAGCAACACAUGUAGAUGCUGAAGUUACAUACUGUAUGUUUCAAGAAAUA